GGCGGAGGAAGGGAAGGCCUGGCUGUCCAGCGGAAUCCGCCUGGACGCACGGACCUCGCGGACCCGACCGGAGCAGAGAAGACUCAAGUGCAAAGAGCUGAGGUGCUUACACGACCACCGCACAGGAACGAAGCGUCGGAGUGUGGAAUCGAGACCUGUUCUACUGCACUCCAGAGCACAUGUUCUUUCUACUCUGCCAUAAUGUUUGGGACAAAAUUGAAUCAUGAGGGUUUUUUUUUUUUCCAUUACAAAUGUAACACAUCGCUCCUGCGUACGGCUGGGAUGAGUCACUGGCACCAGACGUGCCCUCCUGCGAAAAACAGCUAUGAAACUGGACAAAAUACAGGAGGGCCACUGUUUUCAGGCGUUGAACAGUGGAAAGAGGACUGCGAUCCUUGAGAAGAGAUGAUGGUGAAGGUGAGCCCAUGUGUUGGCCCAGGUUCCUCACUGGGAGCCCUGUCCCUACC
rnacentral:lncRNA from 1 species